UCUCUCUCUCUCUCUCUCUCUCUCUCUCUCUCUCUCUCUGUAUUUAUUUAUGACAAAAAAACGUUUCAAUCUUGACACUGUGUUCUGAUCCAAAACACAGCCUAGCUAGGGUAGUGUUAGAGAGGAGGAGGCAACGUUUUGGUGAAUGUUGGUUGUUGACAGAAGAUAGAGAGCACAGAUGUGGAUGUGCAGCAGAAAUUUGCAUCUCUCUCCUUUGUGCUCUCUAUGCUUCUGUCAUCACCUCAAUUCAGCCUCUCUCUCUCUCUCUCUCUCUCUCUCUCUCUCUCUCGCCCCCCUUAAUUUUCUCUUUUCUAAACCCUUUAGUGCCUAGUUUAAGAUCUUUGUUGGCUUUCUUGAAUUUCUCUAUCUUCCUCAUGAGAAGGAACUGAACAGCUAUUGAUCUUUUAUGUGUAAAUUUGAUUUCCCUUUUUUGCCUUUCCAAACAGCUUUUUUAUUGUCUUGUUUUUCUUCUUUGUGCAGCUAGUAUUGGAAUGAAUGGAAGGAGAAUUUAGAUAAUUUUUUAGUGUGUUUUGAAGAGCACUCGGGUUCUCUUGCUUCAGGUUUGUGUCUAUUUCUUUGCAUAUCUUUAAUCUGAAUUAUGGCUUAUACUGGUUCUUUACUUGUUAUCGUGUGCUUAAAUUUCAUUAAUCUGGUUGAGAAGUUUAAUUGAGACGUAAUUACGCACGUGUUGGCAGUAUAUGGAGGUGCCAAAUCCAUUUUGAUUUGGUUGUUUUUACCUAUUCUUAGUUUGGACAUGUAAAAAUUUAAUCCAUAUUAUUGUCAUAUAAUUUUUGUAUCUUUCAGAAAAAGUUUUUAACCAUGGAAAAACCGUGUGAUGGUUCAUCUGAUUGCUAAUUUAGAUUAAGACAGUGUAAACCCUUGAACUUUGCGUGUCCAACGACAUUGUUGAAGUUGACAUGACUAUGCUUAUGUUGAGUGAUUUUGCUUCGUGUGAGAGUUGCUCUACAUAGAGGGUCUCUUAUAUUUCGAUGUGUGGUGUUGAGGAUAGAGGACACAAAAUGUGAUGAAAACGGAAUCAAUUAGGGAGCUGAGAUAAUUUGAAAUGAUGUGCUUCAAAGAUCUAAUCUAUCGUUGUCAGUUAUUUUUGUAACGUAUUUGUUGUUUAGUUAGUUAAUAAGUCAUUUAGCAGGUGGAGUUUAUGCUACAAAACUUUCAAAAGAUGAUCAAUUCAUGAGAUUGACUAUAGGACGAGCUUUACUUGCAUAAUUAUCUCUUAAAACAUUUUUUUUUUGAUGUAUACUCCAACUAAAAUACUGACGAACCAGAGGAAAAUUAGCUGUAUUUUCAGACAAUUUACUUAAAAAAAUUUCUACCCAUUUAAUAAAUCCAAAACUUACGCAGGCACGCCAUAUACCAUUCUUCAAGAACAAUUUGCUCGGGCAUGCUGCGUUGUUUGGAAGAGAAUUAUAUAGCAUUGCAGUUUCAAUUGAACACCUUUUGGUCGACGCAUGAGGGACACUAAUCUUUGCUUAUUCAUUUGGAGAUUCUUACUGGUAAAAAUUUGUAGGUUGUGUGGAAGCAUGGUGUUUGAUAUCGAUGAUAGUUUGUGUUUUGUGAUGUGUGCAAGUGUAUGUGUGUAUGGCAUAGUUGGAUGUAGGAAUGGACAAGGGGCAAGGUAUACGGGACAAGCAUAGUUUCACUAGUUGAUAGAAAUGGUUUUACAAUAGUUGCAGGAGGUGUUGUGAUGGAGAAGCCACAUGAUAUGGUCUUUUAGUUCAUGCUCCCCCCACCUUGCAUGAAUGAUACUAAGCUCUAUUUAUAGAGCAACUCCACCGACUCUCUCCCACAAUUGUUGACCUUUUUUACCUUUUUUACAAGAUUUUUCUAGUCUUUGGUGCUGACAUCUUCAAGCUUCCUCUCCACGCAUAAGCUCCUAGAGACUUCAACACUUUGCUUGUGCUUUCUAGACUCUUCUGCACAAAUUCAUUGCCGCCUAAGACUAGGAUUUUUUGUAGGAUUCAAUGCCCAUCCUAGAAGUCUCUAGAAAUUGGAUCACAAAUUCCAACGCUUACACCUUACGUCAUUAGGAUGUGUUAAGACAACCAUAAGCUAAGUACUAAUUUUGUCAUAACCAGGUUGGCUCUGCAUUCAUGAUAAUUAAAUUUCAUCUACUUGCUGAAAAAAGGAUUCAGGAUUCUCUUUGUAAUUCAUCGAAUGCGAGAUAUUUCUUCCGUCAAAUUGUCUGAUGAGUUAUCAGCAAAAGCUUAUGACAUUUUCUGGCAAAACUGUUUUCUUGUUGAUGAUUACUACAAGCUCGAUGGACAUGGCAAAAGUUGUUAGAGAAAAGGCUGAAGCAUGCAUACACAGCAACUUGUCUGAUGUACUUGUGUGAUGCCACUACUUCGAGGCCUGGUUAUUUGAUACAAGGUUCGUUGCGCCGGUAAAGAAGAUCUGAAACUACUGCAUCAACUGAAGCAUCGGCACGAAAUGGACACCGACUUAAUCUGAACUUGAUCAAAGUCACGCCUGAAACAAGAAAGCUUCGGAUUUCUUUUCUUUUCUUUCUUGAUUUGCAAGAAGUGUGUCAUAGUGCAAGGUGAUUUUGCUUUUGUAAUUUCUUGUCUCAAGUCUGAAAGCAUCGUCUAUGAAGGCACAAAUAUUUACAUUUCUCUAAAA